UACGUAGGGGGCAAGCGUUAUCCGGAUUUACUGGGUGUAAAGGGAGCGUAGGUGGUAGUGCAAGUCAGAAGUGAAAACCCAAGGCUUAACCAUGGGAUUGCUUUUGAAACUGCAUAACUAGAGUGCUGGAGAGGUAAGUGGAAUUCCUAGUGUAGCGGUGAAAUGCGUAGAUAUUAGGAGGAACACCGGUGGCGAAGGCGGCUUACUGGACAGUAACUGACACUGAGGCUCGAAAGCGUGGGGAGCAAACAGG
rnacentral:rRNA from 1 species